rnacentral:lncRNA from 1 species
ACUACUCUGUUGUCUGUACUUUCCUUAUUUAUCUUCACUUCAGCUGCAACUUGGCUUGGGCAAACAACUUGGGCAAACCGUGCUUGUUCUCCUUUAUCCUUUUUUAGGCAGUUUUAAGAGCAUUUUCACCAAAUUAUCUCUUUACACCGUUUUCUGCAAAAUAAAAUUAAAACCACAGAAUUAGGCAAAAAAUGUGUAUAUUAACAUUAAUAACAAUAUGAUAAAUGGGUCUAAAUUUGGUCUGAACAGUGGUUGAUCCUCGACUCGAAGGUAGGGGAAGAACCAACAAAACUAAAAGGAAAGUGAUAGAGCAUAAAUUAGUCCAUUUUAUCUUGAUAUUAUUGAUGAUUAUUUACAUGAUUUCUGCUUAAUUUAGUGCUUUUGAUAUUAUUUUGCAGAAAAUGGUGUAAAAGGAUAUUUUCGAUAAAAUCCCCCUAAAAUUGCCUUAAUUGGAGCAAAAGAGUGCAAGCCUGCCAAGUUGAAAUCAAGUCAAGCUAAAUAAGGAAAGUUGUAAAUAAGGAAAGUGGCAAAGAAGGAAAAAACAUUCAGCCAAAUCAAUUUGAAAUUGAAAUUUCAAAUCUCCAAAUAGCCUUUUCCUUAUUCAAGAAGCCAAGUCUUAAGUUGCCAUAUAUGAAGAGCCAAAUAAGGAAAGUAUUUUGAAUUUCAAAUCUUCAAGAUUCAUAUUCAAAUUUUGAAUUUCAAAAUUCAGCUUAUUAAGGAAGCCAAAUCCAAAGAUCACAUGCUUGCCAUCUCAUGCCUUGCACAUUCAAAAUUCAAAUUGCAAAGGAGGCUCCACUUUCCUUAUUAGUGCAUGGGCGGCAAGGAGAGUGUGAAAGCAAGUCUUGGGCAUUUUGGGCAGCAUCUUGAAGAUACUUGGGCAGCAAACAAAGACCAAAAGACCCACUCUUGCACAAGCCAUACAUGCCCCUCGUUUUUCCCUUCUCACAUGUGCAUGGAUGGCACAUCUUGGACCAAGGGCAUUUUGGGCAGCCCCUAAAAGACUCAUGGACAGCCAAGAAACCCUAGGCCAGCAUCUUAAAACAUAUUUAAAGACUCCAAAGAAGCCAACACCAGUACUCUUCAUCACCCCAUUCGGCCAAGGCAAGGGAGGCGCACCAAGCUCAAUCUCCUCUAUUCGGUUCCCCUUUUCAUCUUCUCUUCUUGUUUUUGAUUUUUGUUUCAUCCAUGAGUGGCUGAAACCUUUUAUUCUUGUUGAAGAUUGGUUGAAACUAAGGUUGUUUUAUGGAUUGUGAGAUCUGAACAUAAACUAUUUGUCUUUGAUUUGUUCAAUAUUCAUACAAUUCGGUGCUUGAAUCUAUGAUUACUUUGUUGUUUUGAUCAAAUUGGCCACUUGAUUCUUGAUUGCAAGGUAAUUGAUUGUUAGUUUGGAUAAUUUUUAGUCCGUAAUUGCUGGAAUUAUUCAGACAUAAUAACACUUGGUGUAACAACUAAGGAAUUAUAUGAUCUAGCAACAUCUCCAUGCGUUUGGGUAGCUAAGAUUAGAUCUCUCUAUUGACAAUUGUUUUGAUGCCUAAGGCCCAAGGACGUUCCUUGGCAAUUUGUUAAUUAGUAAUUGAUUAGAGGACGUUCCCUAAUUGAUUUAAUCAUAAGGAGAGACAUGGUGGUGAGAAGUGUUUUCGACCUCCAUAACUAAUCUAUUGAAUCAAUCAAGAGAACAUAAGUUUCAAUGAUCAAUCCAAACAACCAAAGUGGAUCCAUCUCUUCAACUAGACCUUUCUCAUAUUGAAUUUCUCUUUUAUUUAAUUACUUGCUCAUUUAAUUGCUUUCAGUAGUUUGCUAAUCAAAUCAAUCUCAAAACCCCCCCUUUUUACUUUUAUUGCACUUUAUUUUUGUUCCGCUUUCAGUUACUUGCUUUCAGCUUCUCAUUCAGUUGAUUCUCUUGGUCUUGUUGAGAAAAAUAGAUAAGUUUUCAAUUCUCUGUGGAUUCGAUCCUUUACCACUAUCUACAGUUGUAAGAUUGUUGAUAAUCGGAAAGGUUAUUUUUGACCGGCUUCGAUAAUCCCGAGUCAAAAAUUGGCGCCGUUGCCGAGGAGUUGAUUUAACGUAUUUGUUUUUCUUUCAGGACCAGAUCUGCCACCCAAAGAACACCUCAUCGCAGAUCUGAACAUAAAAAAAAAAGAGAGAAGACCACUUUUGCGCAGGAGCACCUUCUGCAACACAUUCGGCCGCCGAACUUCAUCAACCUUCGGUCGCCGAACCUCAUCCUCAUUCGGCCACCGAACAUCUCGCCAAAGGCACAGUCACCAUCUCAGAUCUGAAUCAUGGAUGAGGUAAGUACACCUGCUACUUCUUCUCAACUUUCUGAACUGACAUUUUUUAUGAAAGAUUUUGCCAUAGGACUAGUUCAACAGGUUCAAGCAUUUUAGCCACCAAGGCCAUGUGGGAUCUGUUCAUAUGUAGGACACCCAACUGAUCAAUGUCCUACACGUCAUGAGUAUGACCAACAAGUUCAUGCAUAUGGAGGAUUCUACGAACAACCAAGACAUGACCCCUACUAUAAUACAUAUAAUCUAGGUUGGGGAGACUAUCCAGACUUCAAUUAUGCAGAGGCUAACAACUACCAGGAUUAUCAAGGAUAUCAAGUCCAACCAGAACCUCCAAGUUCCAAUCAGCACCUUGAAGAGAAGAUGAGAACAUUGGUGAUUUCUGUGCAAACUCUCCAACAGCAAAUGGAACAAGUGGUCACCUUAUUAAGUGCACGCAUGUUAAGAAGAGAGAAAGAGUUUCAAGAUGAUGAGACAGAUGAUGAAAGUUCACAAGUGCAAGAACAAAGUGCUGAAGAAAAACAACAAGAAAAUUGUUUGCCUAAACAAACUGAUCAAACUGAACUUGCUGAAAGUUUAGAUAUCAUUGAUUGUAUGAGCCAAGAAAAUUUUUAUGUAGAUCAAGAUGAUAUGCUAAACAAUGAUUUUUGCAGGGAAGAGAACCAGAAAGAGCCAGAAUUGAAAGAAACUGACUGUUGCACCCAACAUGUGGACUGCAACCAUUCGCAAAACAAGGAAGAGCCAAUCGCACCUAUUCAGAUCAAUCUUGCGCAGUCAGAAGGAACUCCAAUCAAAUCACCUCAGCUUGGAUCGCAGGACAGUCCUGCAACACUUCCCAUUGCACCACUUCAGCUUGGUGCGCAGAUCAACCGCGCACAGACAGAGAGCAUACCAAUCGCAUCCUUUCAGCUUCUAACGCACUCAAGCUCCUCCAGUCCUCCUUUUCAGUCAAGUCUUGCGCAGAAGGAUCAAACUGAAACCAUUUUAGCCAUAGAUCCAAUGCAAACAGCCCAUGCUCAUAAGGAACAAAUGGAAGGUCAAGAGCCUAAAUCAAAGGACCAUGCGGACCAAUGCCUUCCCAAACCUCCGGAUAAGGUAGAGUUUGUUUUGCCUGAAUUAAGUACUAAAUUGUAGUUAGCUAUGGAGAGAUAUGAAUUGAAGUUGGAAGUGCUAAAAAAUGCAAACAUAAGGGCUAGAGGCACACCUCAUCUAAAAGAAGAGAAGCUAAUCAUGUUGCUUCAUGAGUACAUGGAAAAAAUAGGAUGGGUUAUGACCAAAUCAAAAGGAGUGCUACACUUUUUGCUCAAUGCAGUUGGGACUCUUUUCCCUUCCCUAAUUACUUGAGCCUUGAUCAAGUGGAUCGCACCAUGCACACCACACCAGGGGAGUACUCAGUUUCUUUUGCAUUUUAAUAUUUCCAAUACAUUGAGGACAAUGCAUGAUUUAGGUGUGGGGGUGCAUAUCUCUGAAUUUUUACUUUUAAGUAAGUUUAUUUUUGCUUUAAUCUUUAGUUUGCUUGCAUUAGGCAAAAUUUUUUCAUUUUUGUUAUUUUUGCUUUCAAUAACACACACAUGUAGCCACAGUUUUUCUUUCAGUUUUGAGAUGCUUUACUCAAACUUAUAGAUUGUGUUGGAUGAGCUUUCUUUCCAUGACCCCAUUGAUGUGAUGACUCUUUAAACUUAUGUUGAGUCAAUUGCAGUGAGUUAUAUUCAUGUUUGAGAAUUGCCUUUUGAAUUGAAUUUUUGAGUUUUCCAUGGUGAAAAAUGUAUUGAUGACACUCAUUAGAGAGAAUAAAUUGAAAAUUGUGUGAAUGAACUUAACAUAACUUGUUUUAGUAAGUGGUGUUGAUUUGCCCAAAUCAUUGAGAGAAAGAAAAUUCAGCAAAGGCAAAGACCUCAUGAGCACAUAUUCAAAACUGUUUCAAUGGUUGAAAGACUAUGAACAGAGCUAGUAGCCACUUGGACAGGUGACCAACUGAGUAAUUGGGGGUGGGUAUCACCAAUAUGUACUUUCACGUAAAAAGGUUGGUGACUUUUUCAAACAAGAUCUAAGUGCAAAAGACUGAAUAAAGUACUUCAAGGUAAGGGCAAGUCAAUUCGAAAGCUAAAAAGAGUCCUAACUGAACAAAUAGUAUGUGCAUGUAUGAUCUCUCUCUUGAGGAAAACAAAUUCUAGCCAUGGUAAGUAAAGGGAAACAAGGAAAGAAGGUGAGUAACCUUGAUACAUAUAUUCUUCACUGCAAUGAUUCAAAAUAGGGGUCUAGAGUAAGAACUUAAGUGGACAUAAAGGAUCUAGAGCAAAGAGAGCUUGUUUGACUAUGUUUAUUUGCUUGAGGACAAGCAAAAGGCUAGGUGUGGGGGUAUUUGAUAGAGCAUAAAUUAGUCCAUUUUAUCUUGAUAUUAUUGAUGAUUAUUUACUUGAUUUUUGCUUAAUUUAGUGCUUUUGAUAUUAUUUUGCAGAAAAUAGUGUAAAAGGACAUUUUGGAGAAAAUCCCCUUAAAACUGCCUUAAUUGGAGCAAAAGAGUGCAAGCCUGCCAAGUUGAAAUCAAGUCAAACUAAAUAAGGAAAGUUCUAAAUAAAGAAAGUGGCAAAGAAGGAAAGAACAUUAAGCCAAAGCAAUUUGAAAUUCAAAUUUCAAAUCUCCAAGUAGCCUUUUCCUUAUUCAAGAAAUCAAGUCUUAAGUUGCCAUAUAUGAAGAGCCAAAUAAGGAAAGUAUUUUGAAUUUCAAAUCUUCAAGAUUCAUAUUCAAAUUUUGAAUUUCAAAAUCCAGCUUAUCAAGGAAGCCAAAUCCAAAGAUCACAUGCUUGCCACCUCAUGCCUUGCACAUUCAAAAUUCAAAUUGCAAAAGAGGUUCCACCUUCCUUAUUAGUGCAUGGGCGGCAAGGAGAGUGUGAAGGCAAGUCUUGGACAUUUUGGGCAGCAUCUUGAAGACACUUGGGCGGCAAAUAAAGACCAAAAGACCCACUCUUGCAUAAGCCACACAUGCCCCAUGUUUUUCCCUUCUCACAUGUGCAUGGAUGGCACAUCUUGGACCAAGGGCAUUUUGGACAGCCUCUUAAAGACUCAUGGACAGCCAAGAAACCCUAGGCCAGCAUCUUAAAAUAUAUUUAAAGACUCCAAAGAAGCCAGUCGACCAGCACUCUUCAUCACCCCAUUCGGCCAAGGCAAUGGAGGCGCACCAAGCUCCAUCUCCUCUAUUCGGUUCCCCUUUUCAUCUUCUCUUCUUGUUUUUGAUUUUUGUUUCAGCCAUGAGUGGCUGAAACUUUUAUUCUAGUUGAAGAUUGGUUGAAACUAAGGUUGUUUUAUGGAUUGUGAGAUCUGAACAUAAACUAUUUGUCUUUGAUUUGUUCAAUAUUCAUACAAUUUGGUGCUUGAAUCUAUGAUUACUUUGUUGUUUUGAUCAAAUUAGCCACUUGAUUCUUGAUUGCAAGGUAAUUGAUUGUUAGUUUGGAUAAUUUUUAGUCCGUAAUUGCUGGAAUUAUUCAGACAUAAGAACACUUGGUGUAACAACUAAGGAAUUGUAUGAUCUAGCAACAUCUCCAUGCGUUUGGGUAGCUAGGAUUGGAUCUCUCUAUUUCUUCAUACAAUUGACAAUUGUUUUGAUGGCUAAGGCCCAAAGAUGUUCCUUGCCAAUUUGUUAAUUAGUAAUUGAUUAGAGGACGUUCCCUAAUUAAUUUAAUCAUAAGGAAAGACAUGGUGGUGAGAAGCGUCUUCCACCUCCAUAACUAAUCUAUUGAAUCAAUCAAGAGAACAUAAGUUUCAAUGAUCAAUCCAAACAAUCAAAAUGGAUCCAUCUCUUCAACUAGACCUUUCUCAUAUUGAAUUUCUCUUUUAUUUAAUUAAUUGCUCAUUUAAUUGCUUUCAGUAGUUUGCUAAUCAAAUCAAUUUCAAAACCCCCCUUUUUACUUUUAUUGCACUUUAUUUUUGUUCCGCUUUCAAUUACUUGCUUUCAGCUUCUCAUUCAGUUAAUUCUCUUGGUCUUGUUGAGAAAAAUAGAUAAGUUUUCAAUUUUUUGUGGAUUCGAUCCUUUACCACUAUCUACAAUUGUAAUAUUGUUGAUAACUGGAAAGGUUAUUUUUGACCGGUUUCGACAACCGCGAGUCAGAAAGCAUAUAAGAAAGAAAACAAUAGACAACAAAAGAAAAUAAAAUUGAAAACAGAAAACCAUCUGACUUUAGGUCACCGCUUCAAAUUCUAAUUCAGAAAAUCCAACUACCUGGUCUCCCUCUUGUGCCGACAAUCAAAAACCUUCUUUCGUUUUUUUUCACUUGGCAUUUGCUUUCUUUCUCUUUUGGAAGCAUUGAGAGCCCCACAGGUGGAGCACAUUCAAUCCUCUCUCUUCGCAAAAGAUGUAAGUACAUGCCAUUUGUCAGCUUCACAUUUUAAAAGUGGUAGUAGCAAUUUUAUCUCAAUGAAGAAAAUUGUUAUGUAACACCUAGUGCACUUUGGGUCUCUCUAAUUUUGUAUUUUUUAUACUUAAUUUAGAGAGAUAAAAAUUUCCAACAGUGUAUCAAGCAUACUUACCAAAUUCGCCUUGCUUUCUUGGGUCCGGUGGUCUAGGUCAUGCAUCCCAAAACAUGGGACGCUUGCGUCCCAAAAUGCUGCAGAACGCGAUCUAAAUCACCAAAUUUGGCAAAUUCAUACAAAUAAAUAUAAAAUAUAAAAUCGAAGAGGAAAAUGGAUUCAUGGAAAAGAAAUACUAAGAAUUAGAAGACCCAGAAUUCAAAUUAUUAAUUUGUUCUAGUUUCUUUCAUUGGAAUCAGCUACAAUUUUCUUGGAUAAGCCUUUGUUGUCAAUGCGAUGUGUAAUAAAAUAAUUUAUUUGAAAGAAAGAAGACAAGCAAAAGGUGGAGAUAGAUGGGUUGAGAUUUGAGAAGGGAAUAGAUUCAAAAAGAUGAAAGUUGAAGAGGGAGGAGAUGGAGAAAUGAUGGAAAGAAGUUAAAAGAGGAGCUGUUGUUGGAUUAGGAUUUAAGACUGGGAUUGAGAGCAAAGAAAACAAAGAAGGAGAGUUAAAUCUCCAGAGUCAUUAUAUACCUACAGUAGAACUGUAGAAUUUUCUAAGAAAACUAUUUAAAAAAGAGUAGUUUACAAGGAUGUCCCUGAGGUUUGACCAAACCUACAAAGUAGUUCAUCACUAAAUUUUGUGUAACAACUUAGUCUCUGACCUUCAUUUCCGUCUAAUAAAAUGGUCCCUUUAUAAAAAAAAAAAGGACAUUUUACCAUGAGUUGACCAUGAUCAACAUUAUGUAAUUUUUAUUAUCGAAAAUACCCUCUAAGUGGCGAGAAGGGGCUAAUGAUUCUCUCCAAUACCCAUGCUAUAUGUAGUAAACGAUUUUACUAAAAAAAAAAAAAGAGUACCAGAAACUUCUCUAAUUUCUCUAUUGAAGACGAUUUGCUUUAGCUGUGAGGUAAAUAUUAUUCUUUCCUUUUCUUUUACUUGAUUAUAGUUGAUUUCCCAUAACUUUUCCAUCUUCUUCUCAUUUCCUUCUACUUCUUUUAACUGAAAAUGUUGGUAACAUGUAGGUGUUCAUCACCAUCUAGUUGAGAAGGAAGACACUUGAAUAUGAACUGCAAAUAUGGAAAAAAGGCAGCUAUUAGAAUAUUUAAAAGUGACAAUAAUAAGAAUUGUUUGUAUUAUGCUUGCCGAGAUAACAAAUGCAAUACUUUUAUUGGAUGGUGGGUUGCUGCUAGUAAGUUUCCAAUAACUGGAGAAACUAUGGAAUAUGGUAGUAGGCAAAGGAAUUAUAGUAGAGAAAUUGCUGAUUUGAAGGGUGAAAUUCUAAGUUUCAAGAAAGAAAAUAGGAGGAUAUUAUUAUAGUUGAAUGAAAUUUACAAGGAAGGACUAAAUUAUUAUCGAAUGGAUAAAUUUAGUGGCAAAUUUAAUAAUGAAUCUAAAAAUUAAGGGAUCAAUUUGUUUAAUAAAAUUAAAAUGAAGGGACUACUAUGUUAGUAUUUUAAUAAUAUAAAGUCUGAAUUGCUAUAUAUAAGCAAAUAUGAUAUGAACGGCCAGUAUUAAAAAAGGUUAAUGAAAUUUACAAAUUGCAUAAGGAAUAGCCUGCUUUACUAUAAAAAAUUUGUGAUUUCAUUCAUGGUCUUGAACAUUACAUGAAGAUAAUUGAAUCACCCUUAGACCAUACAAUGUCUAUGUACAAAAACCAUAAUAUCUGCAUAUAUGAUCAGUCCAAAUUUAAAUCAUUUUAUCAUGAUGUUAUUAAUGUUAAUUUACACUUUUUUUUGCCUAAUUUUGUGGUUUUGAUCUUAUUUUGCAGAAAAUGAUGUAAAGAGUUAAUUUGGAGAGAAUACCCUUAAAACUGCCUAAAAUGAAAUAAAGGAGAACAAGUAUGCCAAGUUGCAACUUAAGAGGAGAUAAAUAAGGAAAGUAAUUUGAAAUUCAAAUUUCAAAUCUUCAAGAGCAUUCAAAAUUCAAAAUUCAGCUUAUUCAAGAAGCCAAAUCUCAAGGAGAUACACAUUCAAAAUUCAAAAUUCAAAAGAAGGCUCCACCUCAUCAAAGCAACUUGGGCAGCAAGUUAAACAUUGGGCAGCAAGCUUGGGCAGCAAGGAAGAGCUAGGGCAGCACAUAAAGGCUAUAAAUAUAUCUCUUCAAGUGCCGCACACACACUUCUCAACCCUUGGACAAUCGGCCACACAAGCCUUUGCACUCCAAGCCCCCUCCUUCUUCCCUUCUUCUUCCUUUCUUUAUUUUUGAGUUUUGUUUCAGUCAUGAGUGGCUGAAACUCCUUUUUCUAGUUGAAGAUUAAGUGAAACUUUGGUUGUUUUAUGGAUUGGGAGAUCUGAACAUACAUUGUUUAUAUUUUAUUUUUCAAUAUUUAUGCAAUUUCAUGCUUAAUUCUAUUGUUACUUUGUUAUUUAGAUCAAUAAGACCAAUUGAUUCUUGACUGCAAGGUAAUAAUUUGUUAGUUUGGAUAGUUUUAAGUCCGCAAUUGAUUGGAUUAUUCAAACAUAAGUAACUCUUGGUGUAAAAACUAAGGAAAUUACACGAUCUAGUAAUAUCACCAUGCGUUUGGGUAGCUAGAAUUAGGUCUCUCUAUUUCUUAAUACAAUAGAUAGUUGUUAGAUGCCAAAGGUCCAAGGACAUUCCUUGGCAGCUUGUUGAUUAGUGAUUAGUUAGAGGACAUUCCCUAAUUGAUUUAUGCUUAAGGAGGGAUAUGGUGGUGAGAAACGUCUUCCAUCUCCAUAACUAAUUUAUUGAAUCAAACAAAGGAACCUAAGUAUCAAUGAUCAAUUCCAACUGAAGUGGAUCCAAUUCUUCAACUAGAGCUUUUCUCAUAUUUGAAUUACUUUACUUUAUUAUUUGCUUUACUUUAUUACUUGCAGUAUUAGUUUAAUUCAAUCAAUCUUAAAACCCCCCUUUUUAUUUUACUUUCAGUUUAUUUACUUGGUCUUGAUAAGGAAAAUAGGUAAGUAUCAAUUCCUUGUGGAUUCGAUCCUUUUGCCACUAUCUGCAGUUGUAAAAUUGUUAAUAACUAAAAAUAUUAUUUUUGACCGGCUUCGACAACCGCAAAGUCAAUAUAUACUAACUAUUCUCCUGCAAAGGGAGUGUUUCCAUGUAGAACUAUUCAUGUUAUACAAAAUAUUUUUAAUAAUAUCUACCAUAUCCACAAUCAACAAAAAAGUUCCAAAAAGUAUCUUAAGUGAUACACCUAUUGAGCUGCACAUAUCCAUAAUACAUAUUAGCUCCAUAUCACUUCUUUGCCAUCAAUAAUAUUGCACAUCANNNNNNNNNNNNNNNNNNNNNNNNNNNNNNNNNNNNNNNNNNNNNNNNNNNNNNNNNNNNNNNNNNNNNNNNNNNNNNNNNNNNNNNNNNNNNNNNNNNNNNNNNNNNNNNNNNNNNNNNNNNNNNNNNNNNNNNNNNNNNNNNNNNNNNNNNNNNNNNNNNNNNNNNNNNNNNNNNNNNNNNNNNNNNNNNNNNNNNNNNNNNNNNNNNNNNNNNNNNNNNNNNNNNNNNNNNNNNNNNNNNNNNNNNNNNNNNNNNNNNNNNNNNNNNNNNNNNNNNNNNNNNNNNNNNNNNNNNNNNNNNNNNNNNNNNNNNNNNNNNNNNNNNNNNNNNNNNNNNNNNNNNNNNNNNNNNNNNNNNNNNNNNNNNNNNNNNNNNNNNNNNNNNNNNNNNNNNNNNNNNNNNNNNNNNNNNNNNNNNNNNNNNNNNNNNNNNNNNNNNNNNNNNNNNNNNNNNNNNNNNNNNNNNNNNNNNNNNNNNNNNNNNNNNNUCCUCCAAAGACUUUUCAUGCAAAAACUCAUUUAAUUUUCAUACUUAAAACCAUGAAAUACCUUAAAACAUUUUAUGAAAACAUGUUUCUACCCUACUAGAGGCUUCCGACAUCCGAGAUUCCACCGGACGAUAGGAAUUUCGAUACCGGAGUCUAGCCGGGUAUUACAACAGCAACCUUUAAAUCUCCAAAUGGUCCAUAUCCACAAUCAAUAAAAAGUUUCAAAAAGUAUCUGUAACUCCAAAAUUCAUGUAUGUUAGCUAUAUCCAUUUAUUUUCUACACAUCAAGCUUCAUAAUUAAUAUAAAUAUAAAAAAUAUAGCAUACUAAUAACUUGCAACAAAAAGUAACUAUUGUUAUUUUUUUAUCUACCGAUUGCUUAUUUCUGCAUUAACUUGCAUUCUCUAUUUGAAUGGAACAUAUAAAUGAGUUAAUUCUAUAUAAAUAUGUUAUUUGAAUAUACCUACAUAAAUAUUGGAAAAAAUACACCAUGUCUUUCUUGAGUGUCAGCAUUUCGCUUUCUUGCUUGCUGCAAUUUUAACAAACAAUAUAAGUAUUAUAAUUAUAAAAGAUAAUUUGAUUAUACUCAUAAAAAAAUUAAGUUAAAUUAAUGUAUCAUACACUGAUAGGAACGGUUGCUCUUUCACAUGUGUGUUUAUUAUGCCCAAACUCCAUGUAAUUUGGACAUUUAAUAGCUGCUAAUAAUUUUUGUUCAGAAGAAGAACAUCCACCUUCACCCUCUUCUCUUCUCCUUGCUUUACGAGAUCUACCAUGUAAUCUUUUUAAUGGAGGUGGAUUUAUGCAUUGCUUAUUAGAAGGUGGUUCUAAAUCUUUAUUAGGCACCAGAUGAAUUACCCCCUCAUACAUUUACAUGUAAGUUGAAACAGUGUAAUAAGAGUUACAAUAAUCUUCAAUGUUGCCUCUCUUAUACCUUAUGCACAAAGCAACAUGUUUGCAAGAGACGCCACUAAUUGUCCACUAAUUGCAAGAACAAGUCCUUUAUUAUAGUUUGACUGCAAAUUUUAAAGGUUUAUCACAAACCUUAAACUCGUCAUUUCUCCAUGGCAACAAACAUCAAUGUCAACUCUCACUUAUAAUCAUAUUAAGGAAAUUCUUUGCUUUUGGUGUAAAUAUCAUAUCCCAGCUACAUGCAUUUGCAUACAUUUUGUGCAUUCUCACCGUACACUUUUGCCUAAAAGCUUCUAGUAGUGCUACAAUAGGCCAUCAUCUUAUUUUUACUAUCCAACUAUUGAAUGAUUUAGUCAUAUUGUUUGCGAGGUGAUUUGUCUUUGCGUCUUUUCAAAAUGAAUGACAAUACCACUGACUUAAUGGAAACUGCAUUAACCAGUCAUAAGCUAAAGCAUCCUUUAAUUUUCUUCUUUCAUGCAUAACUUUCCAGAAGUGAUAUCCAUGUGUUGCUUUAGCUGCUGCCUAAAAUUGUUUCUUCAAUCCUAAUAUUGAGAAUUGCCGUUUGAAGUUGUUAAACAAGUGUCUUACACAAAAUCGAUAACAAGUAAUCGGAAAGUGAGUGUUAACAGCUUUAACAAUACCCUACAAAGAAGAAAGGAUAAUUAUUGAAGUUGUAAAAAAAUAAUUUAAUACAUUAACAAUUAAUGAAAGUGAGUUACCUUUUGGCAAUCAUUCAUACAUGUGGAAAGCUUAUCGUCAUUACUAUUGCCAAUACAAUCUUAUAAAAAUGACAUAAAGAAGUUCCAACUUGAUCCACACUCUACUUUAGCAAUACCUAUUGCUAAUGGGAUAACCCCAUUAUUUCCAUCAAUACCAAUGGCAACUACUAACACUCCACCAUAAGUUUCUUUUAAGUGGCAUCCAUCAAGUCCGAUAAAUGGUCUACAUCCAUAUAAGAAUCCACUUAUGAUUGCUUGGAAGAAUAGAAACAUCCUUUUGAACACUCGUGGAUUAUCCAAAUUAGAUCUUUACUCAAACUCAAACUUGAUAACAGUACUAGGAUUGCAUCUUUUCAAGUGUUCAACAUAUAGCUCUAGAAUCUUAUAGCUCUCCUUGUGCGUACCCUCAACCUACAAUCUCAUUUGAUACUUGGCUUUAUAUAGUGUCCACCAACUAGAAUUCACUCCCCAUUUUUUAACCAACUCAUUCUGCAUCAAAUCAUAUAACAUAUUAAUGUCAGUAGAUAAUGAGCUAGCUAGCUUAUCAGCAAUCCACUUGGCAUUUGCUUUCUUGUUUUUCUUUUCCACUAGUCUUACACAAGUAUGCUCUCCUUAUAAGGUCUUUAUCAUGAAAUUCUUAUCGUUUGGGAUAAUGAACACAUGUACUCACCCCAUUAACUAUCGACAUUACAAAUUGUUGUAACCCUAUGUGUAUCGUUCUUUUUACGAUUUACCUUACACCCUCCCUUCACAGCAUAAUCAUGUAGGGCACCUCUAAAAGCAUUUGCAUCCACAAAACAAUAUCCAAUUUCAAAAGGAACAUCAACAUUACUAGAAUGUAGGUAUAGUUUCUUAUAUUAUCGAUUAAAAUGGAUUUCUUUUGCUUCCUUGUAAAAGAUCCACUUACAAUAUCAGAACUUUCAUAAGAAGAAGUUAAUAAGGCUGAAUUUUCAUAUUGCAAAUUGCUCAUUCUGUCACUAUCUAUGGUAAUUUCAAUUUUCUCAUCAUCAAGAUUUCCUUCUUCAUCACUUGAGUCUUCAUCUUCCUCCUUACUUUCAACUUCACAAGGUGUGCCAUCAUCAUGAGCAUCAAACCAAACAUCUUCAUUCUGUGAACCUUCCUCUUGAAUAUUCAAAUUUUCAUGUUAUUCAGUUGAGGUUGUACCCCUGUUUCUUAGCAUGUAUCUACCAACUCCAGUCAUUUUCCUACUUUCCGAGUAUCAAUGCUUCCUUUUUCUAGUGUUGAAAGCAACAACAUCACACACAUUAGGAGAUGAUGGAUUAUUAGCCUCUACCUCAAUAGGUGUAUCAAUAUUUCUAAAAGCAUCAUCAUGACCACUAAUGUCUAUAACAUCUACUGAUUGUGUGUUGCUUUUAGAUGACUAGUUGUCCUCCUAUUCAUGUUAUUUAUUUCUGCAUUAAUUUGCCAAAUAGGCCUAAAAGGGGAGGAUAAUUUGCAGCUCCAUGUGUAAUUGCAUCCAUUGCUGAAUUGUCACAACCUUCUGCAAUAACAUCAAGAGCAAACCAUUUCUCAUAACGGAAUAACUCAAUCACUGGAUUAUUCUUAUGCUUAUCAAACAAGGCCAAAAUGUCAUUGUCACACUUCACAUGUAACUCACAUGCAAAAAUAAUAUCCAAAUUGAAUCUUAAAGGCAUCAUGAUAAUUAGAAAACAGCGUAAAGUAUGAGUACUUAUCUGCUUGCAUACAAAAAUUCACCUUUGCAUUGCCAAACUUCAAAAUUAAGGUAUACAUUAAGGGAUUCAUAGUUAUUCCCUACUAUAAAUAAUAAAAUAACUAAUGUCUAUAUUGAAAUCACAAAUAUAGCAUGUAAUGUUUCUUAAUUACAUAUUUAAUCAAUAUUAAACUCAUAAGUGAGAAGCAUAAAUGUUAUUGAUUAUACAGGUAAAAAAAAUUAGUGAUAACAUAGGCAUUUGAGAGGUUCAAAUUAAGUCAGCAUGUCAAUAUAUAUAAACAACAUUCAUAUAACCAAGGAUCAUGCAAUUUUCAAUCAUGUAAUUUUUUUUCCCAACGCAAGAGUAGUGUGCGGCAAACUCAAUACCUCGCGAUGAAUUUCGUUGCUUAAUCAAUGAACCUCGAGAUGAACUUUCUGCUCAAUCGAUGAAAGGCUCAACGGGUAGGCUACUUUGAGAAUGCUCAAUAGAGCGCUAGAUUUGGGUAUGCUUGACGAAGUUUCUGUUCGAUGGAAGGUCUGCUCAUUCAAUGAAACUCGCGAUGAACUUUCUGCUUAAUCGAUGGAAGGCUCAACAGGGAGGCUAUUUCGAAAAUGCUUAAUAGAGCGUUAGAUUAGGAUCUGCUCAACGGAGUGUUUGCUCAACAAAGGGUCUGCUCAAUCGAUGAAACUCGCGAUGGACUUUCUGCUCAAUCGAUGGAAGGCUCAAUGGAGAGACUACUUCGAAAAUGCUCAAUAGAGCGUCAGAUUUGGGUAUGUUUAACAAAGGGUUUGCUUAAGAGAGGGUUUUCUCAUUCUUGUGAUGAACAACGAUGGAGGGUUAAGAUUGGAGAGAUGAGAGGUUUUCAGUGUUUGGUUUAAGUUUUUUUUUUAAA